UUCGUAGGCGGUCUGUUUAGUCAGAGGUGAAAUCUAACGGCUCAACCGUUAACCUGCCUUUGAAACUGGCAGACUUGAGUAUUGGAGAGGAAAGCGGAAUUCUUGGUGUAGCGGUGAAAUGCGUGGAUAUCAAGAGGAACACCCGUGGCGAAGGCGGCUUUCUGGCCAAAUACUGACGCUGAGGAACGAAAGCUAGGGGAGCAAACAGGAUUAGAUACCCUGGUAGUCC
rnacentral:rRNA from 1 species